GGGGGGGGCAAGCGUUGUUCGGAAUUACUGGGCGUAAAGGGCUCGUAGGCGGCCAACUAAGUCGGACGUGAAAUCCCCAGGCUCAACCUGGGAACUGCGUCUGAUACUGGAUGGCUUGAAUCCGGGAGAGGGAUGCAGAAUUCCAGGUGUGGCGGUGAAAUUCGUAGAUAUUGGGAAGAACACCGGUGGCGAAGGCGGCCAUCUGGACCGGCACUGACGCUGAGGCGCGAAAGCGUGGGGAGCAAACAGGAUUAGAUACCCUGGUAGUCCACGCCGUAAACGAUGCGUGCUAGACGUUGGGGGGCUUGCCCUUCGGUGUCGUCGCUAACGCAUGAAGCACGCCGCCUGGGGAGUACGGUCGCAAGAUUA
rnacentral:rRNA from 1 species